GCCCUGUGGUCUAUGACCCUCUGAGUGUGGGAUGUCAACUACAAUGUGCCUUGUUGUCACAUUUGCUGACGUCCCCGAGUGAUGGACUGUGUUCCGCUUUCACGUUUUGUUCCUAGGUAAAGACAUCCAACCAAAUUAUUCUCCUCCAACUCUUUUAAAGUUUCCCAAGUGCCUAUAAGACCCUGGAAUUUAGAUAGUGAUCCUAUUUAUCAGCUGAGUGACCGCAUUCAGACACAAUUCCAUUCAUAUGUAAAAUCCCAGAGUCCAGCUUCCAAACAGCUUGAGAAUAGAAGCAACACUUAUAUCUUAG